CUGGUCUUGCAGACAGAAGCCAAGCACAAAAAUGGGAGGCCCCUGAAAUACUGACCUACACCCAACUUUUGUAAUGUGAUGUGGAGGUCCCGACUGUCAAAGCCGGUUGUAGGCUCUUCUGUUCCUUAUAGCAGGGAGGAUCCCUCCACAGAGUCCUGAGCACACCGUGCACCGCCUGGGGUCUCUCCCACCUCAGGAGCAAGUCUCACUGCCAGGGGCUGGGAGGAAGCAACAUGCUCUCCUUGUUUUGCUCCUGCUGUGUCUCCUCUGUUGUUCCUCUUCCAUCCACACCUUUACCCACCUUGAAGACAACACUGCCUUCUUGGUUGGCCUUUCUGGGGCCCAGGAAUAGAGCUGACUAAGUGUCCCUCUCCCCCUUCCUGGGAGCAUGGCCUGGGCCUGAUUUGUUAGGCCUCCUUGCAGAGACUGGCUCAGGCCCUGGCACUUAACUUGUCCCCAGGAAUUGCUUAUUAAGAGCCCUAGUCAACAUGCGCGUGAUGAGAUGAACUCAACCUUGUCAGCAGGUGGGAGAAGUUUGAGCCGGAGCAUCUACUCCUCAGGCCUUAAGGGAUUUUAUCCCUAUGCUGCCCCCCUGAGUUCAAAGAAGCAGCAGGGCAGCUCAGACUCAGUGGAGCCUUGAGCCCAAGCGCGGUGAGGCUGUGGUGUCAACUCCAUCAUACAGACCAGGAAAUGGGGUCCCAGGAGAGUCAAAGUCACCCAGCAGGAAACUUUCGAUUUCUUAUCUCAUUGAAAUCGUAUAAAGUAUGCAACUGAGUUACAGACUGAGCUGCAGGAAAUUGAAAGGAAAGUGAAGUCGCUCAGUCAUGUCCGACUCUUUGUGACCCCAUGGAGUGUAGCCUACCAAGCUCCUCUGUCCAUGGGAUUUUCCAGGCAAUAGUAACUGGAGUGGAUUGCCAUUUCCUUCUCCAGGCUGGCAUGGAUCUUAUGAAGACAUUGUGUGCUAAACAUGGAUUUCUAUUCCUGGCACAUAGACCUCCAAUAAAAGGUGGCCUCUUUUAAUG
ensembl:lncRNA